GACGAACGCUGGCGGCGUGCCUAAUACAUGCAAGUUGAGCGCUGAAGGUUGGUACUUGUACCAACUGGAUGAGCAGCGAACGGGUGAGUAACGCGUGGGGAAUCUGCCUUUGAGCGGGGGACAACACUUGGAAACGAAUGCUAAUACCGCAUAAAAACUUUAAACACAAGUUUUAAGUUUGAAAGAUGCAAUUGCAUCACUCAAAGAUGAUCCCGCGUUGUAUUAGCUAGUUGGUGAGGUAAAGGCUCACCAAGGCGAUGAUACAUAGCCGACCUGAGAGGGUGAUCGGCCACAUUGGGACUGAGACACGGCCCAAACUCCUACGGGAGGCAGCAGUAGGGAAUCUUCGGCAAUGGACGAAAGUCUGACCGAGCAACGCCGAGUGAGUGAAGAAGGUUGUCGGAUCGUAAAACUCUGUUGGUAGAGAAGAACGUUGGUGAGAGUGGAAAGCUCAUCAAGUGACGGUAACUACCCAGAAAGGGACGGCUAACUACGUG
rnacentral:rRNA from 1 species